rnacentral:rRNA from 1 species
AACGAACGCUGGCGGCAUGCCUAACACAUGCAAGUCGAACGAAGCCUUCGGGCUUAGUGGCGCACGGGUGCGUAACGCGUGGGAAUCUGCCCCUUUCUUCGGAAUAACAGUUAGAAAUGACUGCUAAUACCGGAUGAAGUCUUCGGACCAAAGAUUUAUCGGCAAGGGAUGAGCCCGCGUAGGAUUAGGUAGUUGGUGGGGUAAAGGCCUACCAAGCCGACGAUCCUUAGCUGGUCUGAGAGGAUGAUCAGCCACACUGGGACUGAGACACGGCCCAGACUCCUACGGGAGGCAGCAGUGGGGAAUAUUGGACAAUGGACGCAAGUCUGAUCCAGCAAUGCCGCGUGAGUGAUGAAGGCCUUAGGGUUGUAAAGCUCUUUUACCAGGGAUGAUAAUGACAGUACCUGGAGAAUAAGCUCCGGCUAACUCCGUG